GCUCGGCUUCGCGGUGUCGCGGCGGGCGCCGACGUGUCCGAAGCGAUUCUGGUACCAUCUUGAAAUUGGCGGAGGGAAGCAGGACGAGAGAGACGCACUCAUCGGCGAGGAAGGCAGGCCCCGUCCGGGGAUCUUGGAAACCCUGCGGACCAUCAUGAAGUUCCAGUAUCAGGAGGACCAUCCCUUCGAAUAUCGGAAAAAGGAAGGAGAAAAGAUCCGGAAGGAAUAUCCGGACAGGGUCCCUGUGAUCGUGGAGAAGGCUCCGAGAGCCAGGGUGCCUGAUCUGGACAAGCGGAAGUACCUAGUGCCCUCUGACCUCCCUGUUGGCCAGUUCGACUUCUUAAUCCGGAAGAGGAGCCACCUGAGACCUGAGGACGCCUUAUUUUUCUUUGUCAACAACACUACCCCUCCCACUAGUGCUGCGAUGGGCCAGCUGUAUGAGGACAACCAUGAGGAAGACUAUUUUCUGCAUGUGGCCUACAGUGAUGAGAGUCUAUGGGAAGUGAUUGGUGGAAGCCCAGCAGAUGGGAGCACCUGGACUUGGGAGUAG